rnacentral:tRNA from 1 species
CCCCCCCCCUCAAUGA